ACGUCAGCGGCAGACGGGUGAGUAACGCGUGGGAACAUACCUUUUGGUUCGGAACAACACAGGGAAACUUGUGCUAAUACCGGAUAAGCCCUUACGGGGAAAGAUUUAUCGCCGAAAGAUUGGCCCGCGUCUGAUUAGCUAGUUGGUAGGGUAAUGGCCUACCAAGGCGACGAUCAGUAGCUGGUCUGAGAGGAUGAUCAGCCACAUUGGGACUGAGACACGGCCCAAACUCCUACGGGAGGCAGCAGUGGGGAAUAUUGGACAAUGGGGGCAACCCUGAUCCAGCCAUGCCGCGUGAGUGAUGAAGGCCCUAGGGUUGUAAAGCUCUUUUGUGCGGGAAGAUAAUGACGGUACCGCAAGAAUAAGCCCCGGCUAACUUCGUGCCAGCAGCCGCGGUAAUACGAAGGGGGCUAGCGUUGCUCGGAAUCACUGGGCGUAAAGGGUGCGUAGGCGGGUUUUUAAGUCAGGGGUGAAAUCCUGGAGCUCAACUCCAGAACUGCCUUUGAUACUGAAGAUCUUGAGUCCGGGAGAGGUGAGUGGAACUGCGAGUGUAGAGGUGAAAUUCGUAGAUAUUCGCAAGAACACCAGUGGCGAAGGCGGCUCACUGGCCCGGUACUGACGCUGAGGCACGAAAGCGUGGGGAGCAAACAGGAUUAGAUACCCUG
rnacentral:rRNA from 1 species